CGCCUGUUUAUCAAAAACAUCUCUUCUUGUUGAUUUUUUUGAAGUAUGGCCUGCCCACUGAUGGUAUUGAAGGGCCGCGGUAUUUUGACCGUGCAAAGGUAGCAUAAUCAUUAGUUCUUUAAUUGUGGACUGGUAUGAAUGGCUCGACGAGGUGCUGUCUGUCUUUGUUGGAAAUACAUGGUGUAGAAUUUGGUGCCUUGGUAAAAAUGCCUAGAUUUUUUUAUGGGACGAGAAGACCCUAUAGAGUUUUACAUGGUUAUACCCUUCUUUGGUUUGAUUUAUGGGUUUAAAUGUUGGGUUUAAUAUGUUUUGUUGGGGUGACAGGAGGAUAUAUUUAACUCCUCCUUACUGUUUUUCAUUUAUUUAUGUUUUCUUGAUCCUUUAUUAUUGAUUAUAAGACAAAAUUACCUUAGGGAUAACAGCGUAA
rnacentral:rRNA from 1 species